rnacentral:rRNA from 1 species
ACGCUAGCUACAGGCUUAACACAUGCAAGUCGAGGGGAAACGACAUUGAAGCUUGCUUCGAUGGGCGUCGACCGGCGCACGGGUGAGUAACGCGUAUCCAACCUGCCUCUGACUAGGGGAUAACCCGGCGAAAGUCGGACUAAUACCUUAUGAGGUUUUCUGCAGACAUCUAACGAAAACGAAAGAUUUAUCGGUCAGAGAUGGGGAUGCGUCUGAUUAGCUUGUUGGCGGGGUAACGGCCCACCAAGGCAACGAUCAGUAGGGGUUCUGAGAGGAAGGUCCCCCACAUUGGAACUGAGACACGGUCCAAACUCCUACGGGAGGCAGCAGUGAGGAAUAUUGGUCAAUGGGCGAGAGCCUGAACCAGCCAAGUAGCGUGCAGGAUGACGGCCCUAUGGGUUGUAAACUGCUUUUAUGUGGGGAUAAAGUGAGCUACGUGUAGUUUAUUGCAGGUACCACAUGAAUAAGGACCGGCUAAUUCCGUGCCAGCAGCCGCGGUAAUACGGAAGGUCCAGGCGUUAUCCGGAUUUAUUGGGUUUAAAGGGAGCGUAGGCCGUGGAUUAAGCGUGCUGUGAAAUGUAGACGCUCAACGUCUGAAUUGCAGCGCGAACUGGUUCACUUGAGUAUGCACAACGUAGGCGGAAUUCGUCGUGUAGCGGUGAAAUGCUUAGAUAUGACGAAGAACUCCGAUUGCGAAGGCAGCUUACGGGAGCACAACUGACGCUGAAGCUCGAAGGUGCGGGUAUCAAACAGGAUUAGAUACCCUGGUAGUCCGCACAGUAAACGAUGGAUGCCCGUUGUUGUUCACUUAAGAAUUAGCGACCAAGCGAAAGCAUUAAGCAUCCCACCUGGGGAGUACGCCGGCAACGGUGAAACUCAAAGGAAUUGACGGGGGCCCGCACAAGCGG